UCGUCGCACAUGACACUGCCGCUGUCGCACACGCAAAUCCGGCAUGGCUCAGGUUUCCACACGUCCUUGUCAUUGUACGACUGGCCGUCUAAUGUGCAGCUACUGAAAAAGCCUACGAAGGAAAGACCGAGAGGAACGCCUGCUCCCUGUUUGGUGUCGCCACAGCAGAUCAUUUAGUCCGUGUGUGGCGCAGGUUUUACACCGGAUGCCCUUCCCGACGCAACCCUCCCAUUUAAUCCGGGCUUGGGACCAGCACUGAGAGUUAACUCUUUAGAAGCUGGGUUAGCUCCCUGCCCGGGAAUCAAACCCAGGCCGCGGCAAUGAGAGCACGGGACCCUACCACUGGACCGCCAGGAGGCUAACCAACUAAGGGUUAACUACCUGUAAAAUGAACUGGGUUGGGAAAAAUGCAAGCACUCCUCCUACCUGAUAUGGUAAGUGCAGUGAUUAUGUUGGCCUGAAGCUUUGAAAAUUGAACAUUCUUUCUGCACCCCCUCUGCUAGGCUUCGACCUCUUGGGUGUGUCUGUGAGGCAGACCUAGUUUAUUCUUAGCAGGGCUUGAUCUGCUUUGCUUGUAAAGUUUUAACAUUUGCAUGUGAAUUCAUUUACAAUGGGAAAAAUGUAUUGGCCUGACUAAUGUAGCAUAUAAUAAAGCACAGAAUUCAUGAACAUCAAUCUUCUAGAGUCUUUUUUUGAGACACGUGGCAAACGUUGAUGUCGCCCAUGUUUUGACGUAGCGUCCUUCACGGUUGAGCAAAUUUUACAUAAAUCAUAAGAUAUCCACUAUGCUUGACACAGAGCUAAUAGAUUCUUGUUGAAAAUAUUUCAUGUUUGUAGUACUGAGAGAGUCUAGGGUUGCAAAGAUUCCUCAGUCCCUGAGCAUCUGGUGCUUCUUGCGUGUUUCUACUUGCAGAUCAGGGAGAGAAGGCUUGCGCUGUUGCUGGAGAAAUCCAUGCCAAACCCACCCCCUCCCAAGCUUUUACUUUGUCCUUCCCCCUUUUUUCUUUUCUUCCUCUCUACUUCCCUUCUUGUUCCUGGGAUUCUAUCAAUCACCGUAUGGCUUCUUUAUCUCUGCAAGGCUUGACUUACAGAUACACUAAAGUACCUCAAGCAACUAAACUGUUUGGAAAUUCCCUUAAAAUACUGUACAUUCCCUUACAAUAACAUACCAUUUGCACUGGUCACUACUUAUUUGUUGUAUUGUAAACCAUGAGUUGCAGACGUUCAGCUUGAUGUGCGACUUUAAAGAGAGAGAGAGAGAGAGAGAGAGAGAGAGAGAGAGAGAGA